UUCGGGUGUGAAUUAGCGGCGAACGGGUGAGGAACACGUGAAGAAUCUGCCUUCAACUCUGGGAUAACUCCGGGAAACCGGGGCUAAUACCGGAUAUGAGCCUUGAUCGCAUGAUCGGGGCUGGAAAGUUUUUCGGUUGAAGAUGACUUCGCGGCCUAUCAGCUUGUUGGUGAGGUAAUGGCUCACCAAGGCGACGACGGGUAGCCGGCCUGAGAGGGCGACCGGCCACACUGGGACUGAGACACGGCCCAGACUCCUACGGGAGGCAGCAGUGGGGAAUAUUGGGCAAUGGAGGAAACUCUGACCCAGCGACGCCGCGUGAGGGAUGAAGGCCUUCGGGUUGUAAACCUCUUUCAGUAGGGAAGAAGCGAAAGUGACGGUACCUACAGAAGAAGCACCGGCUAACUAUGUGCCAGCAGCCGCGGUAAUACAUAGGGUGCAAGCGUUGUCCGGAAUUAUUGGGCGCAAAGGGCUCGUAGGUGGUUCGAUACGUCGGAUGUGAAAAUCAGGGGCUCAACCCCUGACCUGCAUCCGAUACGGUCGAGCUAGAGUUUGGUAGGGGAGACUGGAAUUCCUGGUGUAGCGGUGGAAUGCGCAGAUAUCAGGAGGAACACCGAUGGCGAAGGCAGGUCUCUGGG
rnacentral:rRNA from 1 species